rnacentral:lncRNA from 1 species
AGAAAAGUUGCAACUACAUCUAAAGAUGCCAUUAUUUUUAUCAACAUACAAGUGUAUGCUACUCAUCCCUAGAAAAAAAAUUAAAAUAUACGAAUUUCAAAGAUUUUACAACCGUAUUUUUGUGUCGUUUCUCGCGUUAUUUUUUGCUUCCGAAGAGCAUAACGCUGACUGAUUUAUAGAUAAUCGUCACCGGCAAAUUCGUAACUUUUGCUUUCAAAUAACAAAGAACAUCGACCAAUAAGAAUAGUGGGAAGAAAAUGCCGAGAACUAUAAGUAUUUAUGUAGCAGAUGUAAGAACAGUGGCGUGAUUUUUGUGUCCGAUUUCGUAACGCAAUUUUUAGAUGAUGUAAUCUGCUUUGUUGUAAUAGAAUUUUUAAAAACAAUAUGCAAAUAUGAACUCUCGCGAGAUGUUCAAACAGGUAAAUCCGAGAUGAUUUACAUUCUUGUUUUGAUCUUCGUAAUAAUUGAGUAAGAAAAUUACGUUAUCGUUAUGCGUUACAUUUCACACGAAACAGAAGUCCAGUUAUUUAUUAAAAUUGUUUUUGUCCUUAAGUUCUAAUCAUUUCCGGUCAUACGUGAAACAUGUGACUAACAUGUGAUAACGCCAUUACGGCCGGAUGUACGAAAUACUAGGUCUAAACAUUGUUUUUGUUUCCAACGGGAUGUUAGCAAACUUUAUCUGUAGACUUGUUUCGUCUUGUUUAAAAGAGGAAAAUACAAUUGUCAAAGAGAUUGCGCCGAUGGUCUGUUAUUUCUCCUAUGUGCAUAAUGUUACAUACGAUCCUGUGUGAAAAUAAAUGCCCAAUGACUUGACAAAAUCGAUUUCAUAUUUGACAGACGUUAGAACACACUUCGUUUCCCGAUAAUGACGUGAAGAGUCCUUGGAAAAAUCAAUCGAAAUUACGUCUCUUAUCAUUGUACCAAUGCUCUUUGGAUUGAUUUAACUUCAGCAGUAAAUAUUACUGGAUAUUUUAGGUGAAUAAAUAUAAUUUAAUAAAAAAAUACAUGUUAAUAUACCGU